AACGAACGCUGGCGGCAUGCCUAACACAUGCAAGUCGAACGAGAUCUUCGGGUCUAGUGGCGCACGGGUGCGUAACGCGUGGGAAUCUGCCCUUUGGUUCGGAAUAACAGUUGGAAACGACUGCUAAUACCGGAUGAUGACGAAAGUCCAAAGAUUUGUCGCCAGAGGACGAGCCCGCGUAGGAUUAGCUAGUUGGUGUGGUAAAGGCGCACCAAGGCGACGAUCCUUAGCUGGUCUGAGAGGAUGAUCAGCCACACUGGGACUGAGACACGGCCCAGACUCCUACGGGAGGCAGCAGUGGGGAAUAUUGGACAAUGGGCGAAAGCCUGAUCCAGCAAUGCCGCGUGAGUAAUGAAGGCCUUAGGGUUGUAAAGCUCUUUUACCCGGGAUGAUAAUGACAGUACCGGGAGAAUAAGCUCCGGCUAACUCCGUGCCAGCAGCCGCCGUAA
rnacentral:rRNA from 1 species